CAGACGGGCAGCUGUGCCGGCGUCGGCGCUGAUGCGAGCUCUGCCUCACAAAUACUGCGUGCUUAUUUUAGAUGUGAACUUUGAGAAGACGUUCACACGUAUGGACUUUCUGUUUCUUGUUUAACAUCAGUAGACUGGAACCGCCUUCGCGGAUCUGUGGCCAUCUUGAUCGAUCAUCACUUGUUUCGUUUUGCGCUGACUAGCAUUGUAUAAACGCCCGCACUCACUUAUUUGUUCUGUUUGUACAAAAUGCUUAUGUUUUGUUCUUUUUUGUUUAGUUAUUUUUCAUUGUUAGCUAACAUUGUAUGAGUAAAAAAAAUUGUGUUUCACCCCCCUCCAUAAUGCCUUUGGCCCGGAGGGUAGUAUGAAAUAAAUAAACGAAUAAAAAUUC